UUCUGAGGAGACGAGGAGAAAAGACGCGAGGACGAUACAAUUGAGAUCUUCUCAUUUUUAGAACGUGAAAGUGAUCCCUGGGGGAAGUGAACUCAUCUCAGAUUUUCAGAAAAUUAUGCCUAAAAAACAGUGUCUCGUGAAAUAUAUGCCAUAGCAUUUUACAGUACAUUGACUGCAUACAUGUAUAAUAGGCCUAUGGGAACGUGAUCCCUGCGGGAAUUGAAUACCACAAUACGAGUCAUAAUACCCAUAAAGCCUAGCGGUGAAACCCGAAAAUUAUUCCAAUCGUUUUUCCACCAUUAAUUUUGCCAUAGGGGAUUUUAGAACUGCUUCAUAUAAGGUCCAACAGGAGUGCAUCUCUCAGACCAUUCGGUGCAUGGACAUCCUGUGCCAGUGUGAUCUGAACGCGAGGACUACAACACCUCGAGCCUGUGAACAGACAGAUGCUUUUCCCCAUGUUUUAGACAUAAUGCUUGACAUGUGGGACAUCAGGCUUACCCCACUUUGAAACAGUGAAUGAUCAACGCCACCCUCAG